rnacentral:rRNA from 1 species
GUAGGUGGCAAGCGUUGUCCGGAAUUAUUGGGCGUAAAGCGCGCGCAGGCGGUUCUUUAAGUCUGAUGUGAAAGCCCACGGCUCAACCGUGGAGGGUCAUUGGAAACUGGAGAACUUGAGUACAGAAGAGGAAAGCGGAAUUCCACGUGUAGCGGUGAAAUGCGUAGAGAUGUGGAGGAACACCAGUGGCGAAGGCGGCUUUCUGGUUUGUAACUGACGCUGAGGCGCGAAAGCGUGGGGAGCAAACAGGGAUUAGAUACCCUGGUAGUCCACGCCGUAAACGAUGAGUGCUAAGUGUUAGGGGGUUUCCGCCCCCUUAGUGCUGCAGCUAACGCAUUAAGCACUCCGCCUGGGGAUACGGCCGCAAGGCUG